UACGUAGGGGGCAAGCGUUGUCCGGAUUUAUUGGGCGUAAAGAGCGUGUAGGCGGCCAGGGAGGUCCGUUGUGAAAACUCGAGGCUCAACCUCGAGACGCCGAUGGAAACCCCCUGGCUAGAGUCCGGAAGAGGAGAGUGGGAAUUCCUGGUGUAGCGGUGAAAUGCGCAGAUAUCAGGAAGAACACCCGUGGCUAAGGCGGCUCUCUAGUACGGUACUGACGCUGAGACGCGAAAGCGUGGGGAGCGAACAGG
rnacentral:rRNA from 1 species